rnacentral:rRNA from 1 species
UUUAUGGAGAGUUUGAUCCUGGCUCAGGAUGAACGCUGGCGGCGUGCCUAAUACAUGCAAGUCGAGCGAACGGACGAGAAGCUUGCUUCUCUGAUGUUAGCGGCGGACGGGUGAGUAACACGUGGAUAACCUACCUAUAAGACUGGGAUAACUUCGGGAAACCGGAGCUAAUACCGGAUAAUAUUUUGAACCGCAUGGUUCAAAAGUGAAAGACGGUCUUGCUGUCACUUAUAGAUGGAUCCGCGCUGCAUUAGCUAGUUGGUAAGGUAACGGCUUACCAAGGCAACGAUGCAUAGCCGACCUGAGAGGGUGAUCGGCCACACUGGAACUGAGACACGGUCCAGACUCCUACGGGAGGCAGCAGUAGGGAAUCUUCCGCAAUGGGCGAAAGCCUGACGGAGCAACGCCGCGUGAGUGAUGAAGGUC